rnacentral:misc_RNA from 1 species
UCUCCCGUGAGGGAGCAGUCUCGCCUGGCCGUAUAGGCAACAGGCAACGAGGGUUGCGUUCGUUACCCCACUGAAGGGAACAGUUCAAACCACGAACUGACGACGACCGUGCACCACCUGCCAAGCACCCUCGAAGGCUCCUCGACUUUCAUCAAGGAUGCAGCUUGGUUUCUAAUCUUGGUAAGGUUCUUCGUUUGUCGACGAAUUGAGCCACAUAAUCCACUGCUUGUGCGAAUCCCCGUCUAUUCAUUUGAGUUUUAAGCUUGCGCUCGUACUACCCAGGCGGCUCGCUUACCGCGUUAGCUUAGUCUCGCAGAGGGUCGAUACUCCGCGAAACGAGCGAGCAACGUUGAGGGCCAGGACUAC